GUGCUCACUUCAGCAGCACGUAUGCUAAAAUUGGAACGAUAGAAAGAAGAUUAGCAUGGCCCCAGCACAAGGAUGACAUGCUAAUUUGUGAAGCAUUCCAUAUUUUA
rnacentral:snRNA from 1 species